CCUACGGGAGGCUGCAGUGGGGAAUAUUGCACAAUGGGCGCAAGCCUGAUGCAGCCAUGCCGCGUGUGUGAAGAAGGCCUUCGGGUUGUAAAGCACUUUCAGCGGGGAGGAAGGCAGUACGGUUAAUAACCGUGUUGAUUGACGUUACCCGCAGAAGAAGCACCGGCUAACUCCGUGCCAGCAGCCGCGGUAAUACGGAGGGUGCAAGCGUUAAUCGGAAUUACUGGGCGUAAAGCGCACGCAGGCGGUCUGUCAAGUCGGAUGUGAAAUCCCCGGGCUCAACCUGGGAACUGCAUUCGAAACUGGCAGGCUUGAGUCUUGUAGAGGGGGGUAGAAUUCCAGGUGUAGCGGUGAAAUGCGUAGAGAUCUGGAGGAAUACCGGUGGCGAAGGCGGCCCCCUGGACAAAGACUGACGCUCAGGUGCGAAAGCGUGGGGAGCA
rnacentral:rRNA from 1 species